GGAAAAUCUGGAGGAAGCUGGAGGAUGUUGAGUUUAAGUUGAGGAAGAAGAGACAAUGCAGAAAAAGAAGUUCUUUCUGAGGUAUGAAAUAUUCCUUUGAGGAAGCAGCGUGCUGCCCACUGGAGACUUUGUGUGUAAGUGAAAAUUGUGAGAUCUACUGGAGUAUGGGAAAGGAUGCCUUUAUGUUUCAAGUGGGCAGGAAGUUCAGAGAAGAAAGCAGGAGAGAAGAGAUUCAGGAUCGUAUCAGCUCUCCUAAGUAGCAGUUCACCAGCACAAUCAGUGGAUGUAUUACUCAUAGACAGCCUUGCAUGCAGGUAUGCCAAGAGGGAUCCCAGCUUGCAAUUGUGCUGGCGACAGAGGGCUAGUAUUGACAAUGAAAGGUAUAUCAAAGCACUGCUUGCUGCCAUUAAUGUCUCUGUAGACCUGUCUGAUAGAGGAAUACAGAAAUCAAAUAUUGGAUAUUCAGUACAAACAUCUGUGGUCCUUUAGUAGGGCAGCACAUCCUCCUG
rnacentral:lncRNA from 1 species